GCUUAAUUGCUUGUGGGUUCCUGUUCUGUAUUCUUUUCUUUAUUCUUGCCUCUCUGUAAGAUCAUGCCUGUUUUUGCAGAGACUUCAUCCACUAUAGCAGAGCAAAUCAAGCUAAGAAAACCCAGAAACCAAUUCCAUCACCAACACCAACAAGAAGAAAAUCCCAUUUCUACACAAGAAACAGAUCCAAACCCACAUAUCUCUCGCUCAUCCAAAUCCACGAUCUCCUCUAUCUUCCUUUCCUCUUUCUCCUCAAACACUACUGAGUCCACCACCAAGAAAAAGAGCACCACACUCAGAGGUUUAGGAUGCACUGCUGGGGCGGCGCAGCAGGUGUCGGUGCCGGCGG
rnacentral:misc_RNA from 1 species